rnacentral:rRNA from 1 species
GACGAACGCUGGCGGCGUGCCUAAUACAUGCAAGUCGAACGAACUCUGGUAUUGAUUGGUGCUUGCAUCAUGAUUUACAUUUGAGUGAGUGGCGAACUGGUGAGUAACACGUGGGAAACCUGCCCAGAAGCGGGGGAUAACACCUGGAAACAGAUGCUAAUACCGCAUAACAACUUGGACCGCAUGGUCCGAGUUUGAAAGAUGGCUUCGGCUAUCACUUUUGGAUGGUCCCGCGGCGUAUUAGCUAGAUGGUGGGGUAACGGCUCACCAUGGCAAUGAUACGUAGCCGACCUGAGAGGGUAAUCGGCCACAUUGGGACUGAGACACGGCCCAAACUCCUACGGGAGGCAGCAGUAGGGAAUCUUCCACAAUGGACGAAAGUCUGAUGGAGCAACGCCGCGUGAGUGAAGAAGGGUUUCGGCUCGUAAAACUCUGUUGUUAAAGAAGAACAUAUCUGAGAGUAACUGUUCAGGUAUUGACGGUAUUUAACCAGAAAGCCACGGCUAACUACGUGCCAGCAGCCGCGGUAAUACGUAGGUGGCAAGCGUUGUCCGGAUUUAUUGGGCGUAAAGCGAGCGCAGGCGGUUUUUUAAGUCUGAUGUGAAAGCCUUCGGCUCAACCGAAGAAGUGCAUCGGAAACUGGGAAACUUGAGUGCAGAAGAGGACAGUGGAACUCCAUGUGUAGCGGUGAAAUGCGUAGAUAUAUGGAAGAACACCAGUGGCGAAGGCGGCUGUCUGGUCUGUAACUGACGCUGAGGCUCGAAAGUAUGGGUAGCAAACAGGAUUAGAUACCCUGGUAGUCCAUACCGUAAACGAUGAAUGCUAAGUGUUGGAGGGUUUCCGCCCUUCAGUGCUGCAGCUAACGCAUUAAGCAUUCCGCCUGGGGAGUACGGCCGCAAGGCUGAAACUCAAAGGAAUUGACGGGGGCCCGCACAAGCGGUGGAGCAUGUGGUUUAAUUCGAAGCUACGCGAAGAACCUUACCAGGUCUUGACAUACUAUGCAAAUCUAAGAGAUUAGACGUUCCCUCCGGGGACAUGGAUACAGGUGGUGCAUGGUUGUCGUCAGCUCGUGUCGUGAGAUGUUGGGUUAAGUCCCGCAACGAGCGCAACCCUUAUUAUCAGUUGCCAGCAUUAAGUUGGGCACUCUGGUGAGACUGCCGGUGACAAACCGGAGGAAGGUGGGGAUGACGUCAAAUCAUCAUGCCCCUUAUGACCUGGGCUACACACGUGCUACAAUGGAUGGUACAACGAGUUGCGAACUCGCGAGAGUAAGCUAAUCUCUUAAAGCCAUUCUCAGUUCGGAUUGUAGGCUGCAACUCGCCUACAUGAAGUCGGAAUCGCUAGUAAUCGCGGAUCAGCAUGCCGCGGUGAAUACGUUCCCGGGCCUUGUACACACCGCCCGUCACACCAUGAGAGUUUGUAACACCCAAAGUCGGUGGGGUAACCUUUUAGGAACCAGCCGCCUAAGGUGGGACAGAUGAUUAGGGUGAAGUCGUAACAAGGUAGCCGUAG